rnacentral:rRNA from 1 species
UACGAAGGGGGCGAGCGUUGUUCGGAAUUACUGGGCGUAAAGCGCGCGCAGGCGGUCCUUUAAGUCUGAUGUGAAAUCCCGUGGCUUAACCACGGGCGGUCAUUGGAAACUGGGGGACUUGAGUGCAGAAGAGAAGAGCGGAAUUCCACGUGUAGCGGUGAAAUGCGUAGAGAUGUGGAGGAACACCAGUGGCGAAGGCGGGUCACUGGUCCGGUACUGACGCUGAGGUGCGAAAGCGUGGGGAGCAAACAGG